ACCAGACUCCUACGGGAGGCAGCAGUGGGGAAUAUUGCACAAUGGGGGAAACCCUGAUGCAGCGACGCCGCGUGAAGGAUGAAGUAUUUCGGUAUGUAAACUUCUAUCAGCAGGGAAGAAAAUGACGGUACCUGACUAAGAAGCCCCGGCUAACUACGUGCCAGCAGCCGCGGUAAUACGUAGGGGGCAAGCGUUAUCCGGAUUUACUGGGUGUAAAGGGGGCGCAGACGGCAGCGCAAGCCAGGAGUGAAAGCCCGGGGCCCAACCCCGGGACUGCUCUGGAAACUGCGGCGCUGGAGUACGGGAGGGGCAGGCGGAAUUCCUGGUGUAGCGGUGAAAUGCGUAGAUAUCAGGAGGAACACCGGCGGCGAAGGCGGCCUGCUGGACCGUGACUGACGUUGAGGCUCGAGAGCGUGGGGAGCAAACAGGAUUAGAUACCCCAGUAC
rnacentral:rRNA from 1 species